rnacentral:lncRNA from 1 species
GGCCCCUCCGAAUCUGCGGCGACUAUAUCCCGAGCUGUUUCCGAAGUGUUUCCGUCAAGGUCCGAAGGUUUCAGAGCCUGUGUUUCUCGCGUUAUAUCGGUCAGAGGUCGUUGCGGUGAUUGACUGGAUGUUUGGUUUCGAUGUAAAACAUGUUCUCUUGCAAAAUUGUUUGUUUUUCUCGAUUUACCUGUGUUAAGCUUUUCGAAAUUCCCUGCUCUUUUUCGACUCAGUUUCCAAGUGUUGUUUUCAGGAAGAGCUGAAGUGCACGAGGCCAUGUCUUUCUUCUGUCGGUCCU